rnacentral:rRNA from 1 species
GACGAACGCUGGCGGCGUGCUUAACACAUGCAAGUCGAACGGAAAGGCCCUGCUUUUGUGGGGUGCUCGAGUGGCGAACGGGUGAGUAAAACGUGAGUAACCUGCCCUUGACUUAGGGAUAACUUCAGGAAACUGGGGCUAAUACCGGAUAGGAGCUCCUGCUGCAUGGUGGGGGUUGGAAAGUUUCGGCGGUUGGGGAUGGACUCGCGGCUUAUCAGCUUGUUGGUGGGGUAGUGGCUUACCAAGGCUUUGACGGGUAGCCGGCCUGAGAGGGUGACCGGCCACAUUGGGACUGAGAUACGGCCCAGACUCCUACGGGAGGCAGCAGUGGGGAAUAUUGCACAAUGGGCGGAAGCCUGAUGCAGCAACGCCGCGUGCGGGAUGACGGCCUUCGGGUUGUAAACCGCUUUCGCCUGUGACGAAGCGUGAGUGACGGUAAUGGGUAAAGAAGCACCGGCUAACUACGUG